CGAAGAGGUUGUUUAAAAAAUGCUUUUAAAAGGUUCUGGCGAUCAGGCAACUCAUCUGGGAUCAUCAGAACCCUUUAAAAGCUUUUUUUCCUCUGGCAAUCCCAGCUGAGUUGCCUGAUCAUCACAGGCUUUUAAAAGCAUUUUCAGCUGAAGAGGUUGUUGAAAAAAUGCUUUUAAAUUUUUUUUUUUAAAAGUUAGCCAUGCCCACCCAGUCACAUUACCCCCCCAAGCCACGCCCACAGAACCAGUAGUAACAAAUUUUACAUUUCACCCGUGUUUUGGACCACAUCUGCCUCAAGGGAUGCUAGCAGUGAGAGGUAACAUUCAAAAGCAGGGAUCUUCCAGCAACAAGCCAGAUCCAGAUUACAUUGGCCUGCUUAAAGUUGUGUCCAUCUUGACAAGUUUGCAUGGUAUGCUGGACUGCUUAAUGGCUGUAGUUACCAGGCUGCAUAGGCACUAAUGCCGAAAAGAGAGGAUCAGUUUUACACCCAAACAGUUUAAGAGUUUUAUGAAAUUUUGGUAUGUUGUCCUGCUCAACCGCAUCCUGCAAUAUUAAAAAAGGAAGGUAACAUAGGUUUAAGUUUUUCUGGUCACCUGCAGAUUUUCCGCAGCCAGAGCAUAUGGAUUAUUGCCAGUAUACUGCAGAUAUUUUAAUUUAAGCCUCCCCACCACCACUCAGGCACUGUUAUUUUUUUUCUUCCCCACCCCAUGUAUGGAUAAGAAAGAUAACUUUCUCCCACAACUUGUCUGCAGUGGCUGCAAUUUCAACUGUGCCACUGCAUAAUGUUUUUUCUGCAUAGUUUAAAAAAAGAACAAUUAUUCAGCCUUUGGAAAAAAAAUAGAGGGCUGCCAGAAACUGCUAGUUUAACCUGUGCAAAUGGUUAUUGAUUGUCUGCUGUAGCUUCACCAGUACUACCUGGUGAUAGUAGCAGACUUGGUCCCUAUUAGCAUGCAAGAGGGCCCUUGAGAGAGUGGAGAAAGGACUUGGCUCUAUAAGGAUCAUCAAGAUAUCCAUGUGGGUGUCAGAAUGUUUGCAAGAUGACAGGCAAAGGAACCUGGUUGAAACCUUGCCCCCUUUAUACCCACAUAUAAAAGAGGUGGGGCUUCUCUUGCAAGGUCAUACCCACUAUCUUGCAAAUUUGUACCUUCACUUCUCCAUGCGUUAUCUUUAGGAAAGGACCUGGUUAAUUCUUGUGGCAUCUUCUUCCUAUGGCACAUUUGCAAAACUAAACAAAGUGGUACUGCAGUAUUUAUGUGGUGGAUUGUAGCCUGGAUUCCCGGGAGGGAGGGACCACAUUCCAAAGGAGCAAGAGGCAGUGAAGUUUAGAUAGUUUGGUUGGGAGGAAGAGGCUGAAGACAGUGCCUCCCUAGAAAGUUCUCCUUUAGCGAUGCUAGUAGUUUGCUUUAGUUUGGCAAGAAUCCUGCCUGUAGGUAAGGAAUAAUAAAGAAAACUAGUUUGGAGUAACUCCACGUGUCUUUCUUGGUUUUGGAGUUUCUCAAUCGUGGCUACAUUAAGAUGUGUGAAUUUCAAUUCUCAGAAUUCUUCAGCCAGAAUGCUGGCUGGGGAAUUCUGGGAGCUGAAGUCCUGGGCAAGAUUGAGAAACAUUGAUACAGGAACUAGACAACGUGUCUAGGAGUGUGUACGCUAUAUAAUAAAUGCACAUAAUCUGGUCAAUGGGUUCUAAAUUUUUUAAAAUUGGCACAUAUAUGGAGAUGCCCUGUCUGUCUAGGGGGCAUGUAUAUAUGAGACAGUGGAAUAGAUCUGCAGCCCCCAGCUUGGUGGCAUCCUUCUCUGAAUGAAUACACUCUUUGCCCCACUAGAAAGCAGGCGGCAGGGGACAUCUGUAGCAGUGGUGGGUUUCAAAAAUUUUUACUACCAAAUCUGUGGGCGUAGCUUGGUGGGCAUGGCUUGGCUUGGUGGUGUGGCAGGGGAAUGUUACUGUAAAAUCUCCAUUCCCACCCCACUCCAACAUUACACUACACUAAAAUCUCCAUUCCCUCUUCAAUCCAGGGAAGGUUACUGCAAAAUCCCCAUUUCCUCCCGAUCAGCUGGGACUUGGGUGGUAGAUAAUAGAUGGGGGUGUGGCCAGUCAAAAUUUUUACUACCGGUUCUCCGAACUACUCAAAAUUUCCCCUAUCGGUUCUCCAGAACUGAUCAGAACCUGCUGAAACCCACCUCUGAUCUGUAGCCAUGUGAUGGCUUUUAACAUGUGGCUUUCUUUUGAAUGUCUCUGCCCUCAGGUUCAAACUAUGAAGGGAAACGCCAAAUGAAGGUUAGCAACAAACGCACUGUCUUUUUGCCUCCUGAGCUGCUACUGUCCACCUACCUGGAGCAAAUGAGCUGAUAUCCAGCAGAAAAGGAUGUCCCUGUCCCACUCCCUGGGCCUGCAUUGGAGAUUGUCUGCGUCCGUUGCUUUGCAGUAUUCAACACCAAUACACGUUACACGGGGCUAGGUUCUCCCACCUACAGAUAUGCCAGUCUUGCAGACUGAUAUCCUGUUCUGGAAUUGGGACUUUGAUGCCAUCCACAGGUUGUGUAUGGUUGCUUAGCAACUGUCCAUCUUUCCUCCUUGCUGCCUGGACACCUGGAAGGCCGCAAAGAUCCUGGAUGGGAGUGGAGGCAGUUGUCUUAAAUCCAGAUAGGGGAACUAAAGCCAGGCCUAUGGGAUCUGUGACAUCCAGGAAUUAUAAAAUUACAAAUCCCAGCAUGCCUUGCUUUUGGCCAUCUCCAGGCUGGGCCUUCUGACUGAGCAACUGAGGGAGGCCAAAGCAGGGAGGAGCCCCCACCCCAUAACAAAUAGAUAGAAUUCUUUAUUGGCCAAGUGUGAUUGGACACACAAGGAAUUUGUCUUUGGUGUAUCAUAGUUCAAAUACUUUGUUUUGCUUAGGUUAAACUUUUCUACCCAGGUACUAUCCAGAUAUGCCGCAGGCCAAUCCUAUCAUUCCCAACCAUCACCAGCAAUUAUCUUGUUGGUUGGGUUGAUGGAGGCUGUAGUCCACCAUGAGUGUUUUGUGAACAGAGAACCAGUGUGUAAAUUGAAAUGAGUAAAUAGUGUGAUAUAUUGACCGUACCACACUGGGGUGGGUGGGUUAUUGUAAUCAAUUUCUCAUGUAGUCCAAGUAUUGCUUAAAAGCACUCACCUUUUCCACUGGGAGACUAAUAUAAUAUAAAUUCAAAAACUCCUCACUUCCAAUUCCUUUUUCAUUUUCACCCUUAAAAACUCCAUAAAAAUGUUAGGUCUUCAUUCUGAAAGAUUCAGCAACAUGCAACUCUAAUGAGUAAAUAUGUCACAUUUCUCUCUGACAAGUUUAAAAUUUCUCCAGCAUCCAGGGGAUUUCAUCAGUCAGGAUUUCUGUCUCUGCAAGGUUAAAAUCUGGUAUCCCAGCUCAGAAUGGAAACAAGCAAAUAGUCCUGUUGACCAGCCUUUUUCAAUCUGGUACCGUUGAAGUAUGUUGAGACUGCAGCUUGCCAGAUUUCUCAGAGGACUGACCAGAAUGUUAACUUCAUUGCAUUUGGGGAGAAAAAUACUCUGUUAGAAAGGCCUCUCUUGUCUUUGAGAGACUCUUCUAUUAGAUGUCUUUAGAGGUCCCAAAGGUGCUUUUUCAGGAGGCAACUGGACUUUCUUGUUUCUUCUGAAGACGUAGAGAGUUAUUGGAGGUUUAUCUGUGUCCUCAGGGUCACCUGAGGUAGUGCUCCUGGUUUUCCUGAGGUAGUGCUCCUGGUUCCUGUAGUCUGCAAUUUUUUCCUCUGGAAAUCCAUUCCUACUCCCACACCCUCUAAAAGGAUGCAAAUGACCAGCUGUCUGCCAGGAAUAUAAAUCCUUCCAUUCCCCACUAUCCUGACAGAGCUGAAGAAGCUUCUUGGAUGAGAAGCAAAACAUCUUCAAAAGAAAAAAAACAAGAAAGUCCAGUUGCCUCCUGAAAAAGCACUUUUCGGACAAUUAUGACCUGGAUGACUGAGAAUCUCUACAGACUGUUCUUUAGAUGGUGUCCUGAUUUAGGCAGGAAGGCAUUAAAAAGAUGGACAAUUUUUAAUAAAGCUGCCAUUAAAAUAAAUUUCGAUGCCGGUGGUUAUCUAAGCAGCUUCCCUUUGCACUAAUGGGAAUAGUUUUUGUAAAAUUGAACUGCCUAAGGUUGGUAGGGUACCUUUGUUCCCUUUUGCAUUUGUUUCAGGUUCAAAUGCCUGUUGAUUUUAAAUUCAAUUCUUGGCACGCUUAGACACAAGGCAGCCCUAUCUCCUAGGGCAGGGUCUGCAACCUUAAACACUCAAAGAACCAUUUGGACUUGUUUCCCACAGAAAAGAAACAGUGGGAGCCACAAAACGCUUUCCGUGCCCGACUAUUUCUUGAGUGGCCACAUAACUAGCAUAUGCAGUUGAAUUAAAUGUUGUUUUCUUCUGAAAUUUUUCUUUUCUUGGAUUUAUCCAUGGUUGGCCUACCGGGGAUUAAAAAGUUCAAUAAAUUGUGUGCCGGCGGGUGUCACACAUUGGCGGUUGUGACGCAUAUUUUGAGUGACAGGGAGCCACAGCAGAGGGGUGAAAGAGCCACAUGCGGCUCCAGAGCCGCAGAUUGCUGACCCCUGUCCUAGGGCUUGCUGCCAAAUAGGCAGAUAUUUUUAAAAAGUUCUUACUUGAAUCAUUGAAUAUCUUUAAACAGCUAAUUCACACUAUAAAAUGCCAGGCUGAUUUUUCUUUUUUCUUUUAAAGAGAUUUUGUGGGUUUGCAGACUCUCCAGAUCAAUUGAGUGUCUUGUUCGUGACCUUUAUCUUUCCGCUUCAUAAUUUAGGUGGCUCUUGUUACAGCAGGUUUAUAUUAGCCAUGUUCUUUUGGAUUUAUGAAGCAAGUGGGCAUGAACUCCCUUAACCCAGCUGAACACAAUAAUCAGAGGGAUCUGCAGGAUCAGAGGCUUUCAUCAAAAUGACAAAAUGGGCAUCACAGUACAGGUAGCCCCCGAAUUAGAACCAUAACGGAGCCUGCCCGUUACAGAUAAACCUUGACUUACAACCAUUCCUUGAGUGACCAUUCCAGAUUACAACAGCACCGGAAAAAAGUAGUUUAUGUCCAUUUUUCACACUUAAUGACCAUUGCAGCAUCCCCAUGGUCAGGUGUGACUUGGCAACUGGCAAGUAUUUAUGACUGUUGCCGUGUUCUCAUCAGAAGAUCACUUUUGCAACCUUCUGAAAAGCAAAGUCAGUGGGGAAAUCGGAUUCAUUUAACAGCCAUGCCAUGAACUUAACAACUGCAGUGAUUCACUUAACAACUGUGGCAAGAAAGGUUGGGAAAUGGGGCAAAACUCACUUAUACAACUGUCGUGUUUAAGCAGUGGGAAUUUUGGGCUCCACUGUAGUCAUAAGACAAGGACUACUGGUAUAGUUGUAAUUUUAUAUUUUUUCUCAGUGGUCAUUAAAUGAACUCGGGGGGUAUAAAACAAAUGCCAUGUCAUUAAGCGAACAUCGCAGCUGUUGAGCGAAUCAGUGGGCUUGGUUUUGCUGAAACAAAAAAUAACUGCUGGUUUUAAGCAAAGCCACUGUAAAGGUCAUGUGACUGCAGGACACUACAAAAUGGCCAUUAAUGCAGCCAUGUUGCUGAGUGCUGAAAAUGUGGUCACAUCAGUAGUGGUUUUCACUUACCUUCGCUACUGAUUCGGAACUGGGAGCAUGCGCUUGCGUGCGCUCGCUUCACUUACAUGCAGCAGUUCUGCACAUGCGCAGAACCUUCUGCCCAUUUGCAGAGCAUCCGUGAUGACGUCCGGGCAGGUGGGCGGAGCCUCCCGCUGCUGCCGCUACUGGGGCAAACCGGUAGAAACCCACCACUGAGUCACAUCAUUUUGGGGGGCGGGCUACCAUAGGAACUUUGUAUCUGUAUCGUAAGUUCCAUUUUCUCAGGUAGAUUGUAACUUCAAAUGGUCACUAAACAACCAAUCAUAGGUCAAGGACUAUCGGUAUUGAAAGGCAAGCUCCACCCUUUCUGAGUGUUCGCAUGUGAUCCUCUUAUAAAUAUUGUGCUCUAUAUAGAUCAGUGGGCUGUAAAAAUAAGCACAAUGUGGCAAAAAGGCUAUCAAUUAGCUACAUCAAGGAAGAGCAGGAGAGCAGCUUUUAUCUGGCUUAAUUAAGUGUAGCUCCAUUAAGCAGCAUCUCCACACACAUUGUGUGUUUUCAGAAUAGCAGCCCAUUUUCUCUGUCCCAGACUUCCUAUUUUUGGAGCAAACUUACAGCUAAUGUGGGAGAGGGUUUUUUGUUGUUGUUUCGUUUUUAAUUUCUGCAGCUAUGGAAACUCAAGCUCAUUUUUGAGAAUGGUGUCUGAAUUCUUACGUCAUGUUAAAUUAUAGUUAAGAGAACAAAACAACUGCUGGAUUCACCUAGAACAGUAAUGGCGAACCUUUUGGACACCGAGUGCCCAAACAGAAAGAUGCGCAUAUGUGGACAUGGACAUGUGUGGACAUGCACGCAUGCGCAGCAGAGACCCAAAGACCAGCUGGCGGGGCAUCCCAACACCAGCAGCAUGGCAAGUGGUAAGAUCUUUUUCUUUCGUGAACUUCUGUUUCGUCGUUUGCAGGGAAACAGAAGCUCACGAAAGAAACGCCACAGAGAUUUGACCUGGGGCGAUGGCGCGCAUGCCAGCAGAGAGGGCUCUGCGUGCCAUAGGUUCGCCAUCACAGACCUUUAACAUCACACUGUCAGCCUUGGUUCAAAAAAACAACAACAACAACCCAGUGGCUGAGUUCAUACAAUCUACUAAACCUUAGCUCCAUAAAUACUAUUAUGUGUGAUGUAUGAAUCCUGUUGCUGUACUGUGGUUGGAUUCUACCUUUGUAGAACAAGUAGUGAAAAUUGGGUGUGUAUAUUUGAAUGGUUGCUUUGAUUACCGCAGGCAUUCAGUUUUUGGAAUUACAUCUCUCCCAGCUUUAGUAAAGCCACCCUGGAAAAUCUUUUUAAAGUUGGCAGAACCCAGACUAAAUGAGGUUAUUUUUUAAACAGCAAUAAAUAAAUAGAUCAUAAAUAAUAGAAUAAAUAGAAAUAAAAGUCAGUUUCAAAAUUCUGCUUCAAACCACCAUUCCCAAUCUGGCCACUCUAUUGUGCAAAAUGUAACAUAGUGUAUUUUUUUUUCUACAUAUACAUAUCUAUGUAUAUAUUAAUAUAUAUGUAUAUACACAUUAAUGUGUAUCCAUUAAGAAUUUAUUUUAGUUCUUCAAAUUGCUGGGGAUUAACCAACAGAGAUAGAAAUCAACUUUCUUAUUGAUAUAAAUAUCUGAAACUGCUCAUAGAAGAUUACUGGUGUUUUUAUCACUAUAAUUUAGGUUUGAAAUUAAUAAUCUGAUUGCCAUAAAAUGUGGUUCAGGGUGAUUGGUUGUUUAAUGUCCUUUAGUCUUGCAAACCAUGUGCAAGCUACGAAAAAACAAGAAAAUCCUCAUAACCAUCUGUUGGUUAAACAAGGCCUGGAAAGAAGGGGAAUAUUUGUAGCUCAGGGUUGAAAUGAGAGGUCCUUGGUGUUCUCUGUAAGGAGGUAAGUAUUUAAAAGGGGGGGAAAAACACUUUAUUCAGAAUAACAUUUGGUGGGUUUUCUGCUUUCCUCUGAGCAUCCCAUGAUCUAAUCUCACCAAGUUCAUCCCCAAAACAUUCAGUCUGAAGUGUUAAAUUUUUGUUUACCGACAAAGAAAUAAAAUGUAACACAAAAAUGGUUUUUCGGGAAAGUUGACUACCUGCGAAGGCUCCUGGAUUGGGGCUGAAAGGCGAAAGCGGAAGCAGUACGCUCCGUCCCAUGUUUGGGCAGACCAGGUUGCCCUGAUUUUAAAAAAACAAAAAAACCCCACUGGUUCAGUCUGAAGACUUCUAAAGCUGAUUCUCCCAUAGUCUACCUUGACAUGGGGAAAUUCCUACUUGGUUCUCAGCAUUCUGAUAAUUGAUACUGUUUUCCCUUUGGAGUGAAAGAUUUUUGCCCCCUUCACCUUAUUCCAUUUAAUGCCGCUUGGAGACCCCUCAAAUAAAGGAAAAUCACCCACACAAUAAUUUCUUGCCAUGAUGUUGGUUGCUUGCCUUGGCCGCAACUAAUACAGGGGUUCAACAGGGCAGGGGUUCAGUGAUGCGGGUAGUCCUUGACUUACGACCGACAGUUUAACAAGUGUUCAGCGUUAUGAAGGUGCUGAAAAAAAGUGACAAAAAGUCCUUGCGCUUAUAGGUCCCCAUGGUUAUGCGAUUGUGAUUUGGGCACUUGGCAACUGCCAUGUAUUUACAACAGUUGCAGCAUCCCUGGGGGAUGUGAUUGUCAUUUGCCACCUUCCCAGCCAACUUCCAAUACACACAGUCAGUGGGGGAAGCCAGAUUUGCUUAACAAUUACAAGAUUUGCUUAACAACCAUGGCAAAAAACGUAAAAUUGGGCGUGGCUCACUUAAUGUCCUGCUCACUUAAUAACAGAACACCUAUCCUAAUUGGGGAGGUUGUAAGUCAAGGACCACCUUUGCAUCCAUUCUAAAUUGGAGAAUUCCAAAAAGCCCUGCAGAAUUGCUUGCCACUUAAAAAAAGAAGACUGCCUUUUAAACCUCUAGUGAAUUAUUUAACAGGUUAAUCUCCUGUCAAUGGAAGAUAAAUCAGAAUACCUUUCUUUUGAGGAAGCCUUCCGUCCUAGUUCUGAUUUAUGGGUCUCGUUCUUAUUCUGGUUUGUGAAUUUUCUUACACGCUCAGAAAUGUAAAAAACCAAAGUGCUGUGUUAUUUUAUUUUAAUCAUUGUCAAGCCAUAAGAGUCAUAUUGUGAAUAUUCUGCUUCUUAAGAAAUGAGUGCUUAUUGAUGAUUUGCAAUGUGAGGGUUCAUUUUGAAAUGAUGUCUUUGUUUUUCUUUUUGCUUUAAAAAAAAUUAUCUCAGCUUUUACCAUAGGGUGAAAAAAUGCUUGAGUGAGGAAGGGUGAGAGCAGCCCAUUGCUUUGUGAAAAUCGUCUGUAAUUUUUAGGAAGCAGUAAAACUUUGCACGCUGGAAGAUACCACUUCUUUGCAUGUGUAAAAGUCCCUAUAUGAGAAAUGAGGUGUGCUCCAUGUGGAAAUUGACUCUUGUAAAUACUUGACUAGAAACUACCAGCUUAUUGUGUGGAAUACAAUUUUCUUAGGCUAAGAUGAUUUAGGGAAGGGAUUUCAAACAUGCUCCUUUUGUGGUACAGUCUAGGCCCGGGGUGAGUAACUACGGCAACUUUAUGACCUGUGGACUUCAAAUCCCAGAAUUCCAUGCCGGCUCAGGAAUUCUGGAAGGCAAA